GUGAGGAAUAUUGCGCAAUGGAGGCAACUCUGACGCAGCCAUGCCGCGUGCAGGAAGAAGGCGCUACGCGUUGUAAACUGCUUUUAACCGGGAAGAAACCCCAGGACGUGUCCUGGGUUGACGGUACCGGAGGAAUAAGCACCGGCUAACUUCGUGCCAGCAGCCGCGGUAAUACGAAGGGUGCAAGCGUUAUCCGGAUUCAUUGGGUUUAAAGGGUGCGUAGGCGGAGCGUUAAGUCAGUGGUGAAAUCCUGCAGCUUAACUGUAGACUUGCCAUUGAUACUGGCGCUCUUGAGUGCGCUUGAAGUGGGCGGAAUGUGUCGUGUAGCGGUGAAAUGCUUAGAUAUGGCACAGAACACCAAUUGCGAAGGCAGCUCACUAAGGCGAUACUGACGCUGAGGCACGAAAGCGUGGGGAUCGAACAGGAUUAGAUACCCUUGUAGUCC
rnacentral:rRNA from 1 species